GAUGAACGCUGGCGGCGUGCCUAAUACAUGCAAGUCGAGCGAACAGAUAAGGAGCUUGCUCCUUUGACGUUAGCGGCGGACGGGUGAGUAACACGUGGGUAACCUACCUAUAAGACUGGGAUAACUUCGGGAAACCGGAGCUAAUACCGGAUAAUAUUUCGAACCGCAUGGUUCGAUAGUGAAAGAUGGUUUUGCUAUCACUUAUAGAUGGACCCGCGCCGUAUUAGCUAGUUGGUAAGGUAACGGCUUACCAAGGCGACGAUACGUAGCCGACCUGAGAGGGUGAUCGGCCACACUGGAACUGAGACACGGUCCAGACUCCUACGGGAGGCAGCAGUAGGGAAUCUUCCGCAAUGGGCGAAAGCCUUACGGAGCAACGCCGCGUGAGUGAUUAAGGUCUUCGGAUCGUAAAACUCUGUUAUUAGGGAAGAACAUACGUGUAAGUAACUGUGCACGUCUUGACGGUACCUAAUCAGAAAGCCACGGCUAACUACGUG
rnacentral:rRNA from 1 species